AAAAAUCUCAAAAAAAAAAAAAACAAAACAAAACAAAACAAAACUGCACCUGAUCAGGUGGCGCAACUAUUUCAUGAUUUAAUAAGGGAUUCAAUAAUAAUUUGUGCCCAAAAAAUGCGAAAAAAUCAACAAAAGUUACCACUGCCGCAGCAUGAGAAUGUCUAGCAUAGUCUACCAUGCUCCACACUGAAAACCGAGACCAGAAAUGUUAGUGCAGAUCGUCACAAUCGGAGGCUAUAUUCUAGUUUAUCAAUCAGGUAGAGGAGUGCCACGCUCCAGAUUGUUUUUUUUUAUUUUCACAGCGUAAUUCCGGAAA
rnacentral:lncRNA from 1 species